AGAAGCUGCCAGCCCUUGGUCACACUGUACCUGUGAACACAAAGCAAAUGGUUCCGCUGUAGCUGCACAUAAUUCUUCCUUUGACCACGCAGCAGCUUUAGGGAAGAGAAACACACGCCCAUCGUGGCACACGGUGGCAUUCAACAGAGAGCUGCAAAUCAACAGAGCCUUCGCAUAGGAGCUGACAGCCAUUUUCUGUGCAACAACCCCAGCCCGUAUGUGAAGGCUGCCUUGGGACCAAAAACGGCUUCAGUAACACCUUUCUGGUCAUAGCACACAGAGAUGAACAAUGAAUGCUGAUGGGAGCAGCUGAAGGGAGAUUAAUAAUGGUCCCACUCCAUGGCCUAGCAGUGCCAGCCAGUGGUUCUGAGCACUCUGCAAAGGAGGAUGAACAAGGAGACCCACCUUCUCACAACGGUACUCUCCAAACCGGAUGCCACGAAUGACUUGAUGGUAAAUGAGAUCUGUGCUGAUGGGAUCCUCCUGGGAGUUGUGCCAAGGGGUAAAGAUUUCCUUCCGAAAGUAAAGCCUCCAGGGUGCAUUGCGUUCAUGCGUGCCCUGCUCCUUUGCUAGCUGCUCACAUUGAGAGAUGGCAUCUAGGACAUGAUCUCGUCCCCCACCCAGUGACCAGACCUAGAAGAAAGGGACAUUGCAUUUACUGGCAUGUCUGCCUUGCAUCUGAGCAAAGGACAACAAGCCCAAACCUCCUUGGUCUUCUGACAAAAAAACAACAACAACAAAAACCUCUGAAAAGCCAUAGGUCCUCCAGAAUGUGGCUUUCCAGUUAAACCCAAAGCCAUUUUCAGCUGAUGCCAAUUGACUGCUGGGACUCAGGGCUUGUUCUGAGAUUCAUCCAUUCUAUAUGGCCUUCCUACCCUGGUCUUCAGCUGGCCAAGAACAUUUCUGGUUGGAAAAUGCACAUGCUCUCCUAUUACUCAUAUCCUGCACUAAUCCAGACUAUUCUGCUCUCCCUACCCCAUUCUAUCCUCCACUGUUGUCAGGACUAGUAUAUCUCAAAUUUUGCUUUUCAGAAAAUGGGGUAAUUUAGGUCAUAAACUUCCAGCCUGUGUCAGCUGGAAAAUCACUAAGAGCAAUGGCAGCAGAUCAUAUGGUGCCAAAAUGGAGAGAAUGGCUCUAUUUGGUGGGGGGCUGCUGGAGCAAAGAAACAAAUACGAAGUGGCUUUGAAGACACACAGUUCUUAAACUGCAGGCGAUCAAAAACUUUUGGGAGAUGAACUCUGAAAGGAGUUCCUGUCUGGAUGACUAAUUUGGGUGUAUCUUUCACUGUAGAGAAGUCCAUUAAACAGAAUUGACCACUGAUGAAAUUCCAAAAAAGUUGAUGGAUUUACACAAGGAAUGAACAUGACCCAUUACCACUCUGCAGCUCCAUACCUCAAAGCCCAGGGGAGCCUGUCCUUCUUGGCCUCCAAUCAUAGAAGAUUCCCCGUUUUCCUGUAAUAGCUAUGGAAGACCCUCUGCUCACAGCUUGGUAGUGAUGCCCUGGACUCCUGACUAGAACUGUUGGAGCACUUGGGUGCUAGCUUGCUGCAGCCAGGCCUUCCAGAGGUUAGUUGUGUUACUGUUUCACCAGAAAGCAGAAAUGUCACAAGUUUAGCAAGCCUUGAGAUGCCCCAGAGUCCUCCUUGGACCCAGUUUGUUUACCUGUCCUUGGCCAGAUGUUCUGGACAGCAGAAAACCACACUGAGAUAAAGACUGAGGAAGAAAGAACAGGAUCAGAAAACAAUGCCAGGAGAAUAGGCAGGUAACAGAAAGUUGUAGCAUAGCCCACCUUGCCUUCAUCAUCCUCCAGCAAGAUCCGUCCUGAGUCAGAGUCUUUCACAACUGCCCCAAUAGGGACAUUAAAUUCACCGUUCAUCUGAGUUUCCAGCCACACAUGAUCACCCUGGGGGUAAGAAAAGUCAUUGUCAGGUUCAGUUUAGCUGCAAUGUGUGAUGGGAAAGAUAACAAAAAGCCUCCGUGUCUGAGAUUCCUGGAGUUCCAGCUGUAGUUCCAUAGCAAAAUCAGAGGUCAUAGAAAAUGACAGGUAUUUCUGUGGCAGGUAUUUAUAUAGACUGGGAGAAGAAGAACUUGAGAGCAGCCCUGCGGAAAGGGAUUUGGGGGGUCCUGCUGGAUGAGAAGCUGGACAUGAGCCAGCAGUGUAUGCUUGCAGCCCGGAAGGUAUGAAGAAAGG